rnacentral:ncRNA from 1 species
UACCGCACCGUGUCGGCAAGCAGAAAUGCCCCGAAUGUUACGAUUGGAGUACAUUGACAACACGUAGUGCGGUUUU